GGACUACUGGGGUAUCUAAUCCUGUUUGCUCCCCUAGCUUUCGUGCCUCAGUGUCAGGAGUCGUCCAGGGACUCGCCUUCGCCACUGGUGUUCCUCUCGAUAUCUACGCAUUUCACUGCUACACCGAGAAUUCCAGUCCCCCUUCCGAUCCUCCAGCCGGAGAGUAUCCAAUGCAGUUUCGGAGUUGAGCUCCGAGAUUUCACAUCAGACUUACCCGGCCACCUACGCACCCUUUACGCCCAGUGAAUCCGAACAACGCUUGGGACCUCUGUAUUACCGCGGCUGCUGGCAC
rnacentral:rRNA from 2 species